GCAAAUGAUGAUUUAAAAUAAUUCUUCACUUUGACCUGAGUAACCAGUGAUGAUAACCUUUACUCUGAGC